AGUGAACUGCGUUUUCAUCCGCUCCACAAGGCGGCAGAAGCGCCUUUCAGAGACUUCGAACCCCCGACUGAUCAGAAGAAGUAGAAACCUGGGAAGAAAACACGACAGUUCGCGUCAAUAGUAAGAGAGGUGUUGAACGGAAGCAGAGCUCUGGAGCGUGAGGACAGACAGUGGCUGUAAUGAUGGACGUGACUCAUUUUCAAUGAUGCCACCCUUCCUUUUUCGUGUUCAGACUGAAGUACGUUAAGGUGGAUCUGUUUUGUCUUUUGCGAAAGGAAGAAGACGAGCAUCAAGUGAUUUCCAGUGGAUGCCAUGACC